rnacentral:rRNA from 1 species
AACGAACGCUGGCGGCAUGCCUAACACAUGCAAGUCGGACGAGACCUUCGGGUCUAGUGGCGCACGGGUGCGUAACGCGUGGGAACCUGCCUUUAGAUUCGGAAUAACUCAGAGAAAUUUGAGCUAAUACCGGAUGAUGUCUUCGGACCAAAGAUUUAUCGCCUUUAGAUGGGCCCGCGUUGGAUUAGCUAGUUGGUGGGGUAAAGGCCUACCAAGGCGACGAUCCAUAGCUGGUCUGAGAGGAUGAUCAGCCACACUGGGACUGAGACACGGCCCAGACUCCUACGGGAGGCAGCAGUGGGGAAUAUUGGACAAUGGGCGAAAGCCUGAUCCAGCAAUGCCGCGUGAGUGAUGAAGGCCUUAGGGUUGUAAAGCUCUUUUACCCGAGAUGAUAAUGACAGUAUCGGGAGAAUAAGCUCCGGCUAACUCCGUG